rnacentral:rRNA from 1 species
CACGUAGGAGGCGAGCGUUGUCCGGAAUCAUUGGGCGUAAAGAGCGCGCAGGCGGCCCGGCAAGUCGGGUGUGAAAUCCCGGGGCUCAACCCCGGGACUGCAUUCGAUACUGUCGGGCUAGAGGUAGGUAGGGGAGAUCGGAAUUCCUGGUGUAGCGGUGAAAUGCGCAGAUAUCAGGAGGAACACUGGUGGCGAAGGCGGGUCUCUGGGCCGAUACUGACGCUGAGGAGCGAAAGCGUGGGGAGCGAACAGG